GACCACCCACCGACCAACGCACGGCAGGAGCGGGGGAACCAGGUAAAUCGCCGGACCGGGCUGCACCGCCGGACCGGCUAGGGGUGAAACCGCGUCGCCGUACGGCGGCACGGCCGGGCAUCUCCCGCCCGAACCCGACAGCUCACCUCGCAGGCGCCGGAGAGGAACA
rnacentral:sRNA from 2 species